UACGUAGGCGGCAAGCGUUGUCCGGAAUUAUUGGGCGUAAAGCGCGCGCAGGUGGUUUCUUAAGUCUGAUGUGAAAGCCCACGGCUCAACCGUGGAGGGUCAUUGGAAACUGGGGAACUUGAGUGCAGGAGAGAAGAGUGGAAUUCCACGUGUAGCGGUGAAAUGCGUAGAGAUGUGGAGGAACACCAGUGGCGAAGGCGACUCUUUGGCCUGUAACUGACGCUGAGGCGCGAAAGCGUGGGGAGCAAACAGG
rnacentral:rRNA from 1 species